CCCUUUUCAGGGUCGCACCUGGAGAGUUUCCAAUACUCUACCAGUCUUGACUGCGGGAGGGAGAGUUAAGCAGAGAUAUAUCCAUUCCAUUUCUAGCUUGGGCAGUGGCUAGCGAGUGGCAGACAAUCUACUACAAGU